AAUGGACAGCCCCUUAUGAGUGCACACUGCACAGUGGUAUGCCAUAACUAAAAAAUGACCUCAAUUAAACUAGAUAUAACCACGAUAACAUCAGGACAAUCUCUCAAUAAAUAUCUUUAUGAGUUCCCUUCACCGGAACGUUGCCGUAGAGCCCAAGAAUAGCAGAUAUUUUUAAUAGACAUUUCAGUUGAAUCCCAGUAUUCUUCUCAUGGUUCUAAUCAAAAGGCUGAACCAAGGGACACUAGUUGACUAUAAGUUACAACUAAAACAUCUCACACAAACGUUCCUCAACGGAACGGACACUUCAGAAAAAAAAAUCACUCGCACUUUGCGCGCAAACUUCUAUACCCUUCACCAUGACCCUCGAGAGCACCCCGAGUCUGCUCAACACGGUUCCCUCAUCAAAGUAUCACCACCACCAAUAGAUUCUUGUCCGUAUCUCCAUCCCGUUCGGAAGGAGGUCUACUUGUCGAGUUCAUAUCUACCUCGCUAAGACGCACACCCUAAAUUUCUUUAGGAUUUUGUCUGGUUCUGGCCUUGACUACACCCAUGACAAUUGACCAUGUGCACGAUUGUCAGGAAAAAAACGCGCCGAAAAACUUUCGUGUCAUGUUUUAUCAAGUUCUGUGAGAAAAAUGUAUUCGUUGCAGCUGUGAGCGAUCAAUCUCCGAUGGAGUUAUAGAGUUUCCUGAUGGAAUUUUGAAACUGCCGGACAUCGAAUAAUUGUUGCUGCUACCGUCUAUUCUGCCUGCUUCUGCUGGUAAGUUCUUUGCUCUUACGUGAAGGUCGAGCUGAAAAUCUAGAAUUUCACCAGAACGCAAGCAUCUGUCGGAACCCCUUGAUGUCGAAACUGCCGGAUGAAGCAAGCUGCCGUAGAUCCCGAAGUUUCUAGAGCUUCCGUUUGCUGUAAGAAUUUCCGGCCUUUGUUAUGUUUUAAGUUAUAAUCGUGGAUGUUUUCGUUUCUGAUAAAUAAAUAAGGGGGAAGGGUUAGGGCCAUGAGGCACAGUUUCAGCGGCGUCGUACAGAGAUCCUCCCGCGUAUCGUCCGAGCUGCGUCGUAAGAUAAUUCGUCCAAGAACGUCCAGGUAUUUCCGGAGAGUUCACCAAGGAGAUCCAUCUACAUGUCGUCCCUGCUGCGUAGAAAGGAGAUACAUCCGGGAGUUGCUGGAGAGUCCUUCAAGGAAAUAAGCUCGCUUUUCCCAACUGCGUCGUAAGCUGAUCCAUCCAGGAGUUGCUGAAGAACUCUCCAAGGAGUUCCGCUCGCGUGUCAUCCCAGUUACUUUGUAAUGAGAUUGAUUGGUCCAGGAGUUGCUGGAGCAUCCUCCAAUAAGAUUCGUCAGUGUGUUGUCCCAGCUGCGUCGUCGGGUGACUAGUCCACAUAUGGGUUUAUCCGCAUAUUGAAGGAUCCGUCCAGGAGUUCCGUCGGUGAUUAUAGAGUAAGUCAUCCAGUAAAAGUAAUGCGAUAACACACUCCUAAUGUAUUUAUUAAUAAGUUUAGCAUUUAGGUUUUGUUUUAAAUAUUUAUUUAAUUUGUAAGAAAAUAAAAUUUAUGAACAUA